CCUACGGGGGGCAGCAGUGGGGAAUAUUGCACAAUGGGGGAAACCCUGAUGCAGCGACGCCGCGUGAGUGAAGAAGUAUUUCGGUAUGUAAAGCUCUAUCAGCAGGGAAGAAGAAAGACGGUACCUGACUAAGAAGCCCCGGCUAACUACGUGCCAGCAGCCGCGGUAAUACGUAGGGGGCAAGCGUUAUCCGGAUUUACUGGGUGUAAAGGGAGCGUAGACGGCUGUGCAAGUCUGAAGUGAAAGCCUAGGGCUCAACCCUGGGACUGCUUUGGAAACUGUGGAGCUAGAGUGCUGGAGAGGUAAGUGGAAUUCCUAGUGUAGCGGUGAAAUGCGUAGAUAUUAGGAGGAACACCAGUGGCGAAGGCGGCUUACUGGACAGUAACUGACGCUGAGGAGCGAAAGCGUGGGUAGCAAACAGGAUUAGAUACCCGGGUAGUC
rnacentral:rRNA from 1 species